ACUUGAAUAGCUUAUUUAGAGCAUAACAUUGAAGAUGUUAUUGAGAUAUUUUUAUCUUUAAGUA
rnacentral:tRNA from 2 species